GACGAACGCUGGCGGCGUGCUUAACACAUGCAAGUCGAACGGAAAGGCCCUGCUUGCAGGGUACUCGAGUGGCGAACGGGUGAGUAACACGUGGGUGAUCUGCCCUGCACUUCGGGAUAAGCCUGGGAAACUGGGUCUAAUACCGGAUAGGAGCCAUUUUUAGUGUGAUGGUUGGAAAGUUUUUUCGGUGUAGGAUGAGCUCGCGGCCUAUCAGCUUGUUGGUGGGGUAAUGGCCUACCAAGGCGGCGACGGGUAGCCGGCCUGAGAGGGUGGACGGCCACAUUGGGACUGGGAUACGGCCCAGACUCCUACGGGAGGCAGCAGUGGGGAAUAUUGCACAAUGGGCGCAAGCCUGAUGCAGCGACGCCGCGUGGGGGAUGACGGCCUUCGGGUUGGAAACUCCUUUCGCUAGGGACGAAGCUUUUUGUGACGGUACCUAGAGAAGAAGCACCGGCUAACUACGUG
rnacentral:rRNA from 1 species